CGCUGUAGCUUUUCUUACUGAAAUGCACUCGCAAUCACAUGCACAAACAUAAAAUUGUACAGUGUCAAGGCGCAAGAGUAAAUUUCAUGUACUAUGUGCUCCUCUAUGAAAUCGAAAGUGGGAAGCAACUUAAGCUUGCGUGCCGCCUUACCGAUGCCCAUAUUCAUCCAAAUAAUUUUCAAAAGAUGAGUGUGUGUUUGGCUGCAUCUCUUUUUUCAAAACGAAACGCCAUCGCGAUUUGUGAAUACAGAAACAUGCCAGCCAAAAACUAUCAAGAAGAAAGGAUCAAGGACAAGUUCCAAGAUACGUAAUAAAUAAUUUUUUCCUUCUUAUUUGUUAAUCGCUUUGAUUUGCAAUCAGGUUCAGAGCAUACAAUAUAUUUAACAAACCUGUUGAAUGAUGUGUUCGACAUAAUGAAUGCAAGAUUCUGUAAGGAAGGGAUAACUGUUCUGAAUUGGUUGCCUAAAAAGAAAAAGCUCGAGGAGAUGCUUGUAGUUCUGAAAAGAACAGAAAUGAUUUAUUUGCAAUCGGACAACAGAGAAAAAAUGUUUGCUUCUACGACGACCAUCCGUGGAUGGAGAACUUCGAUCCAAAGCACCAUAGCAAUUACCGAAGAGCUCUUCUCUAAAAAUUAUGGCUUUGUUCUCACAGGUAAAUUCAACCAGGAUGCCCUAGAGAGAUUAUUCGGGAUCGUUCGAUCAGUUGAUAGCCACCCAACGGUGACGUCUUUCUUGCAAAUAAUGAGAUAUGUCUCUUUGCUCGCUCGACUGAAUACGGUCGUAAAAGGAUCAAGCAUCGAUAGCAGUGAGCAAAUUGUAGUAUUGGCGACCAUCUCAAAAUGCCUUCACAUAAAGCAAAGCAAUCCGAUAUCGCUGCAGCUGACCUUAAAAAGUGUAUGGAAGAUAUUCUGCUGAAGGAACUAACUUCUAGAUACGUAGACUCACUUCCAGAACGAGAAAAAGUCGACUAUAUUAAUGAUAUCGCUAUAUAUGAUAUAUGUGGAUACAUGUUAAAAGCACGACCGUCUGUAACAGUAUGUCUUGAUUGUAAACAUUCAGUGCAAUGCGACGAAUUAGAAUUACCACCUGAUUUCAA